rnacentral:rRNA from 1 species
AUACGUAGGUGGCGAGCGUUAUCCGGAAUUAUUGGGCGUAAAGGGUGCGCAGGCGGCCUGUUAAGUUUAAGGUGAAAGCGUGGGGCUUAACCCCAUACAGCCUUAGAUACUGGCAGGCUAGAGUACUGGAGAGGAAAGAGGCAUUCCAUGUGUAGCGGUAAAAUGCGUAGAUAUAUGGAGGAACACCAGUGGCGAAGGCGGCUUUCUAGCCAGUAACUGACGCUGAGGCACGAAAGCGUGGGGAGCAAAUAGGAUUAGAUACCCUAGUAGUCCACGCUGUAAACGAUGAAUACUAAGUGUUGGGGAAACUCAGUGCUGCAGCUAACGCAAUAAGUAUUCCGCCUGUGGAGUAUGCACGCAAGUGUGAAACUUAAAGGAAUUGACGGGG